GGAGUUAGCCGGUGCUUCUUCUGUGAGUGAUGUCCUUCCUGCCGGCUAUUAACCCGCAGGCCUUCUUCCUCACUGAAAGUGCUUUACAACCCGAAGGCCUUCUUCACACACGCGGCAUGGCUGGAUCAGGGUUGCCCCCAUUGUCCAAUAUUCCCCACUGCUGCCUCCCGUAGGAGUCUGGGCCGUGUCUCAGUCCCAGUGUGGCUGAUCAUCCUCUCAGACCAGCUACGGAUCGUCGCCUUGGUGAGCCGUUACCUCACCAACCAGCUAAUCCGACAUAGGCUCAUCCGAUAGCGCGAGGCCCGAAGGUCCCCCGCUUUCCCCCGUAGGGCGUAUGCGGUAUUAGCCUGGGUUUCCCCAGGUUAUCCCCCACUACCCGGGCAGAUUCCUAUGCAUUACUCACCCGUCCGCCGCUCGCCACCAGGGAGCAAGCUCCCCGUGCUGCCGCUCGACUUGCAUGUGUAGCUCGCCGCCNGCGUCAUCUGAGCCAUAUACACUACUACGUACGUACGAGACGGCGGUCGGUCGGACGGACGGCGAC
rnacentral:rRNA from 1 species